ACGACUCUCGGCAACGGAUAUCUCGGCUCUCGCAUCGAUGAUGAACGUAGCGAAAUGCGAUACCUGGUGUGAAUUGCAGAAUCCCGCGAACCAUCGAGUCUUUGAACGCAAGUUGCGCCCGAGGCCACUCGGCCGAGGGCACGCCUGCCUGGGCGUCACGC
rnacentral:rRNA from 1 species